CUGAGAUCACAAGGAUGACAAAACAUACGUUUGGGAAGACAUCAGUUUCCUACAAGUCUGAACUAACAUGGUAUGAGCCCACUGACUUCAAGUGUUUUAGCGCCUGACUAAAGUUUGCUGCUGUUUCCUUGCCAUUGCGUGCCAAGUCCGGUUCAUGGCGCACAAGAACCUAGAAAGCCUUCCGCGACCCCAUCAUCCAUGGUAACAUCCCACCAGCAAGAAGACUCUUUCUAGAUGUAUCCCCUCAAUAGUGCAUUUCUCAGUCUCCAGAAACGUAAGAAAUAAAUUUACCCUCUAUAAAAAAUAAAUUAAAAUGAAAUGAGAUACCAAUAAAAACAAAUAACUAUAUAGGCAAGUUUUAAGCCCCAG
rnacentral:lncRNA from 1 species